GAUGAACGCUGGCGGCGUGCCUAAUACAUGCAAGUCGAGCGAACAGACGAGGAGCUUGCUCCUCUGACGUUAGCGGCGGACGGGUGAGUAACACGUGGAUAACCUACCUAUAAGACUGGGAUAACUUCGGGAAACCGGAGCUAAUACCGGAUAAUAUAUUGAACCGCAUGGUUCAAUAGUGAAAGACGGUUUUGCUGUCACUUAUAGAUGGAUCCGCGCCGCAUUAGCUAGUUGGUAAGGUAACGGCUUACCAAGGCAACGAUGCGUAGCCGACCUGAGAGGGUGAUCGGCCACACCGGAACUGAGACACGGUCCAGACUCCUACGGGAGGCAGCAGUAGGGAAUCUUCCGCAAUGGGCGAAAGCUUGACGGAGCAACGCCGCGUGAGUGAUGAAGGUCUUCGGAUCGUAAAACUCUGUUAUUAGGGAAGAACAAAUGUGUAAGUAACUAUGCACGUCUUGACGGUACCUAAUCAGGAAGCCACGGCUAACUACGUG
rnacentral:rRNA from 1 species